rnacentral:rRNA from 1 species
UUCCCUACGGGGCGCAGCAGUGAGGAAUAUUGGUCAAUGGCCAGAAGGCUGAACCAGCCAAGCCGCGUGAAGGACGAAGGUGCCAAGCAUUGUAAACUUCUUUUGUCAAGGGACAAAAUCAGGCUCGAGAGCCUGACCGAGGGUACUUGAAGAAAAAGCAUCGGCUAACUCCGUGCCAGCAGCCGCGGUAAUACGGAGGAUGCGAGCGUUAUCCGGAUUUAUUGGGUUUAAAGGGAGCGCAGACGGUGAGACAAGUCUGAAGUGAAAGCCCGGGGCUCAACCCCGGGACUGCUUUGGAAAUUGAC